GGGGGUGUAGCUCAGUGGUAGAGCAUCUGACUUUUAAUCAGGUGGUCGAAGGUUCGAUCCCUUCCACCCUCACCA
rnacentral:tRNA from 1 species